GAUUCCUAUUUAGCCAACACGGUCACACUGUCCACUGCUAUGAAAUACUUUAAGUUCGUAUUAUUUGCUCUGUGCAUUGCAAUGAAAAUGGGUGUAUCCGAUGGGUAUCCUCAAUGUUGCUCAACGGCGAUGUGUUGCUGCUGUAUGAGUGAUUCAUCGCAAGUAUCUUCUAUGCACAAUCCACCCGACUAUACCAAUGAUAGUGAUGGACUUACCAGAAGAAGAGGUUCAAAAUGGGAUAAAGCAGAUACCGUUAUCAAAGGGAUCAAGGUUGCAGUUGAUGCUGGCAAAGCCGUCAAGGAUAUCACUAAGGUUGUAUCAUCGGGAUAACGAUCUGUGUAUACUAUCAUCCAUAGAUAUCACGCAACAGAACUUUUUGAACGGAAAACUUUAUUACCGUUAUCUUUCGUUUAUUUUUGUAAAACAUUAGUGGAGAAAACACCACUUGUGAAGAGUGAAAAUUUACUAAAGUUGUUUGUUUAUUUACUUCCGGGGAUGUUAACCUUUUAUGGGCCCGUAUUUUCUUAAAAUAUAGGUAAAUUCAAGAGAAAUAAGCCUACAUAAGACAAAACUUAAAAAAAAAAUAGGGAAAUUCAUAAGCCCGACGACAGAUUUCAGCGCAGAACAACUUUUGUAAAUCUGUAAUCCUCGUGCAUAUACAGACCCACUUGUCUCUGGAUCGCCGGUAAUGAUGACAGAACAAUUCAACUGGAUGCAACAGGUGAAAACGCAAUAAAUAUACAAAGUCUGCUGUUCCCUCGAGCCAGUGUAAUAGAGUCGUCAGUGCCAGCUGCCAGCAGCCAACCAGCCAGCCAGCGUAUUGAAAGUGUAACGUGCACUGGCACCCGCUAAUGUCAGAUAGGCCAAAGUCAUUGAUGGUUGAUCGGAAAAUCGUGCAGCUCGGUAGACAUAAACUGCCACUGACUGACUGCAGAAGGGAAGCGGUGGAGCAUCGGAUGAAAGUAAAUCUAUCGGUGGAAUAUUGCCGUGACCUUUUCGGUUGGAAGGAAAUGAAAAGUUUGGAAAAGGUGGACGAGUUUAGGUCUUGGUUUAGGUCGGGAUGAAAUAGGUUUCUUGAUUGAAAAAAAGAUUAAAUGAACUUAUGCCUUUCCAAUUUUAAAAUCAUGAGAAAACUGACGUGUAACUCGAAUAGCCCUCUUCAUGCUAUGCCAAAUGAAGUUGUUCAUCUUAUUUCAAAAGGGAACCAAUUAUUUCCGUUGGUUUUGUUAUGAUGCAUGCUCACUUCUAACAGAACAUCAAAAAAAAAUAAACAAAACAAAUAGAUUUUAACUUGGUA